rnacentral:tRNA from 1 species
CGGGGUAGAGUUCAGUGGGAGAGCACGUGCUUAGCAUGCAUGAGGUCCUGGGUUCAAUCCCCAGUACUUUCA